rnacentral:lncRNA from 1 species
UGUCUCCGGAAGGUGGUGAUUGACUCCGCUGUCCUGGCGUCGUGAGGGAGCUUGUUCCACCAUUGGGGUGCGAGAGCAGCGAACAGUUUUGACUGGGCUGAGCGGGAACUGUGCUUCCUCAGAGGUAGGGAGGCGAGCAGGCCAGAGGUGGAUGAACGCAGUGCCCUUGUUUGGGUGUAGGGCCUGAUCAGAGCCUGAAGGUACGGAGGUGCCGUUCCCCUCACAGCUCCGUAGGCAAGCACCAUGGUCUUGUAGCGGAUGCGAGCUUCGACUGGAAGCCAGUGGAGAGAGCGGAGGAGCGGGGUGACGUGAGAGAACUUGGGAAGGUUGAACACCAGACGGGCUG